GAUCCUCAAGACAUAAGAGAAAACAGAAACCUGGUGAGACUGACGGUGAUGACGGUGACUCUAAACGAGAAACCUCAAAGAAGAGGAGCUGGUCAGUUGGUGAAGUCCGGGCUGUGGAAAAGACACUUAAAGAUUUCAUCGAAUCUGGUAAAGUACCAGGAAAAUCGGACUGCAAUGCCUGCAUUAAGGCUUCAGCAGAGGCACUGAAAAAUAGAAGCUGGACUGCGGUAAAGUUCUAUGUUAAAAACCGGAUCACUGCCAUUCAGCGUGAAAGUGCAAAAAGAAUUUAUUGAAAAACAAAGAGCACUUGAAUGUUUUGUUACGCACAUUCUAUGAUUGUGCAUGUUUUGAUGAUCCAUGUGUUGGUGUGAAUGCGUUCUUGUUUAUGUAUUCAGUACUUGAAACAUUUCGCACUAGUUAUUGUACAGUUCAACUGGCCAUAUACCUACCUGUACACACCAAGUGGAGGAUAAGUGACCAGAUGUUGGCUGUCACUAUGGUUACGUUUAAAACCAAGUCUCUAGACCACUCAGAAAGGGUGGAUCCCACCCUUCCAGUCAGUGGACCUCACAGGGUAAUAAAAACAGGUAUGUGUGUGAGGGUGUGUGUGAGUGUGAGUGUGAGCCCUCCCAGGAGGAUUCUGGGAGGGAGCUGCUCUGUUUGAAAAGCGAUUUUUCUUUAAACAAUUAUAAUUGAACUGAAUGGAAUUAAAGAGCGGUAACGUUUUCUCUGCCUCAUUAUUACGACCUGCUUCCUGUUUACAGCGGCAGACACAGUGGACGCCUGAACCAUCAUGUAUCCUCACUGUGUGUGUGUGUG
rnacentral:lncRNA from 15 species